GGCCACUCCUCCGCCCCCCUCUCCUCCCCCGCUACCUGCUCUGCUAUUCGGUAUGCUACUUCAUUGUGCUUGUACUGUAUGUGGUAAAAUUUCUGGUGAUUCCUUCCCGGGACAUUGGUUAGUUGUGUGAAGCUGAGAGGUUUGGGAUGAAAUGACCCCAAAAUUCUCAACCGGAUCGAGUUGGUGAGUUCUAUUUGAGUUUACUUUUGAUUGUUAUACGCUGCAUAGCUGCGUGCCAUCCACGUGGGAAGGUAAUUGUUUUGAUCCACUUUAGUUUGAGGCUAGGAGGUUUGGGUGAAAUGAUCUGUCGAAUUCGGAACUGGAUCAAGCAGCAAUAAUUGGUUGUUUCAUCAGGAUCGGACUGUCUAAUUCUGCUACUGUGUGCUAUGCUUGUUGAGGUUGUAUGCUUCAGGUGUAGAAUAUCCUACCCACUUCUGCACUUGAGUCGCCGGAGAACCAUGCACUACUAAGCAAUGCAGUAGAAUGGCACACUGAAGCAUACACUACUUUAUUGUACACUUAUGCUAGUUGUUACUGAAAUUUGCCCUGUCAAUUCCUUACUGAAAUUUCCUCCUGUUGAAUUCUUAAUGAAAUUGUAAGCUUUGUUACUGAAUUACAGAAGUAUCAUUGCUUGUUCAAGAACAAAUGUUUGACUGUAUCUCCAAUUCACUCAAUCGUUCUUUGUGAUUACAGUUUUGACUGUAUCUCCAGCAUUGACAAAUACCAUUGCUUGUUCAAAUUUAUACUGGAGUUGCUUGUUCAACACUGAUAAAAUAUCAUUGCUUGUUUAAGGACUCCACUAUACUGAACAAAUGUAUUAAUCCAGUAUAAAUCUCCAAGGAUUAUGUGCAAGCAAUUUCUAGGAUCAGUAUUCAGUUUAGAUGCAGAUCCAGUCAACAUUAGGGAUCAAUAUUCAGUUAACACUAGGAUCAAUACUCAGUGUAACAAUAUUCAGUUAACAGUAUUCUUCUUCCAGGCCAUCGGGGGAGCUCUGGUGGCAGCAUAAGGAGCAGAGCAGCAGCACUGGCACGGGCUUAUAUAUUGUUGGCUUGUAGCAUAAAUUGUUGGCACGACAGCAUAAAUCGUUCAGCGUCUUGACGCACUAAUGCAAUCGUACUGACAAUUGGUCGCGGCGACCACCAAGAAGACACCCAACUCCCGCACCCCGAACUACCCUACCCGAGCCUGCCGUCGCAGCUGCUGUGUCAAGUCCACAGCAUCACCAUGCAUGCUGACAAGGACAAUGAUGAGGUCUACGCACAGAUGACUCUGCAACCAAUAAACUCUAAGUACUGUUGGAAACUGAGCUUGGUGAAGAUAUUCAGAACAUGCUGAACUGCGUUUUCUCUACGUGUGCUUUUAUCGGUUUGCAUGCUGCAUGUUUGAUGUUUGGCCUGAGCUGGGGACGAAAUGGUACUGAAUGCCUAAAAGUGAAGUUAACAGUGUUCAGUUUAAGUGUACAUUUCGAGAUCAGUGCCAGUGUUUAUAAACGCUCAAAAUCUGUACAGUAUUUCUUAGAUUAACAAGUGCUUACUGUAUAAUUUAGGAAAGUUUUAAUAAUACUACAGCAGAUGCUAAUUAAAUCAGGAAGUGAAGCACUACCAAACGUACCGUAUACAAUGUUCAGUUCAAGUUUAAUUUUCAGUUUAGUGCCAGAGUUUAUCAUCAACCCAAAAAAAAUAUCUGAUUUUCACAUUGACGAGUACUACUGCUUACUUCUCCCAUUCCUUACUUGAAGACUCUGUUUUGAACCGAGCCUUGCAGCAAGGAGGGAAUGGCUGCGUCUGUUUUGUGCUUGGACGCCUUCUCCUAGUUGUGCUAAAAUUGAGGUGCCUGUUUAAUUAACAAGCACCUUUCAUCCCCACUGUGACAGUAAUGCAUUGAGGUGCCUCUGGACUUUAGUGUAUUAGGUUGCCAGGAGUAGUAAAACUUAGUGUUGUAUUGAGGAUUGAGGGUGGCUGGGCUUAUAAGUUAAUCAUCAGCGUGAAUGCUUUGUUUGUCUGAUCCUCACAAGUUAAUGCUUCGCUCGUCUGGGUGUGUGAUAAUGCCAUUUGUCUUGUGCAAUCAGAUUAAAUUUCUGUUUGUUAUGGUAAUAUAAAAAAUAUUCGUGCUGUCAAAAUUUUCACAGUGCGUGCCUUUCAUUUCUUUAGUUUGAUUGUUUCCCUUGUAUUCAAUAUGCUUUUAGUGGCUGAUCCUUCCAUUUUUGUUGUGGCAUCUUUAUUUUCACAGGUGUUGUGUGUUCUAGAAGAUGGAAGAGGAAGAAAAUCUAUUUUUGUUGAACUAAAUUUUCUGUAUUAUGAUUUGUUGUAUGUAUUAUUUGAUAGUUUUGUAUAGGAACAAGUGAUACUAUUUUGUAGGGUUUUAUGGCCUGUGAUGUAAACAUAUUUAGUGCUGAAAUAUGAAAUUAUUUGCAAAAUUUGUCGAAAA